rnacentral:rRNA from 1 species
UACGGAGGGUGCAAGCGUUAUCCGGAUUCACUGGGUUUAAAGGGUGCGUAGGCGGGUGUGUAAGUCCGUGGUGAAAUCUCUGAGCUUAACUCGGAAACUGCCAUGGGUACUGCAUAUCUUGAAUGUUGUGGAGGUGAGCGGAAUAUGUCAUGUAGCGGUGAAAUGCUUAGAUAUGACAUAGAACACCGAUUGCGAAGGCAGCUCACUACACAAAUAUUGACUCUGAGGCACGAAAGCGUGGGGGAUCAAACAGGA